rnacentral:tRNA from 1 species
CAGGAAAUAGUUUAAGAAAAAUAAUAAUUUUGGGGAUUAUAGAUGAAAGGGUCAACUUUUUUUCCUGA